UACGUAGGGGGCAAGCGUUGUCCGGAUUUAUUGGGCGUAAAGAGCGUGUCGGCGGCUUGGUAGGUCCGCUGUGAAAACUCGAGGCUCAACCUCGAGAUGUCGGCGGAAACCACUUGGCUAGAGUCCGGAAGAGGAGAGUGGAAUUCCCGGUGUAGCGGUGAAAUGCGCAGAUAUCGGGAAGAACACCUAUGGCGAAGGCAGCUCUCUGGGACGGUACUGACGCUGAGACGCGAAAGCGUGGGGAGCGAACAGG
rnacentral:rRNA from 1 species